GUCGAGAAUUUUUCUCAAUGGGGGAAACCCUGAAGGAGCGACGCCGCGUGGAGGAUGAAGGUCUUCGGGUUGUAAACUCCUGUCAUUUGGGAACAAUGCGCAAAUAUUAACUGUAUUUGCGUUGAUAGUACCAGAAGAGGAAGAGACGGCUAACUCUGUGCCAGCAGCCGCGGUAAUACAGAGGUCUCAAGCGUUGUUCGGAUUCAUUGGGCGUAAAGGGUGCGUAGGCGGCGUGGUAAGUCGGAUGUGAAAUCUCGGAGCUUAACUCCGAAACUGCAUUCGAUACUGCCGUGCUUGAGGACUGGAGAGGAGACUGGAAUUUACGGUGUAGCGGUGAAAUGCGUAGAUAUCGUAAGGAAGACCAGUGGCGAAGGCGGGUCUCUGGACAGUUCCUGACGCUGAGGCACGAAGGCCAGGGGAGCAAA
rnacentral:rRNA from 1 species